rnacentral:rRNA from 1 species
UGUGGUAGGCUGAAAUCUUAGGUAAAUCCGGGGUUUCAAGGCCGAGGGCUGAUGACGAGUCGUCUUUUAGAUGACGAAGUGGUUGAUGCCAUGCUUCCAAGAAAAGCUUCUAAGCUUCAGGUAACCAGGAACCGUACCCCAAACCGACACAGGUGGUCGGGUAGAGAAUACCAAGGCGCUUGAGAGAACUCGGGUGAAGGAACUAGGCAAAAUGGCACCGUAACUUCGGGAGAAGGUGCGCCGGCUAGGGUGAAGGAUUUACUCCGUAAGCUCUGGCUGGUCGAAGAUACCAGGCCGCUGCGACUGUUUAUUAAAAACACAGCACUCUGCAAACACGAAAGUGGACGUAUAGGGUGUGACGCCUGCCCGGUGCCGGAAGGUUAAUUGAUGGGGUUAGCGCAAGCGAAGCUCUUGAUCGAAGCCCCGGUAAACGGCGGCCGUAACAAUAACGGUCCUAAGGUAGCGAAAUUCCUUGUCGGGUAAGUUCCGACCUGCACGAAUGGCGUAACGAUGGCGGCGCUGUCUCCACCCGAGACUCAGUGAAAUUGAAAUCGCUGUGAAGAUGCAGUGUAUCCGCGGCUAGACGGAAAGACCCCGUGAACCUCUACUGUAGCUUUGCAAUGGACUUUGAGCCUGCUUGUGUAGGAUAGGUGGGAGGCUUUGAAGCGUGGACGCCAGUUCGCGUGGAGCCAUCCUUGAAAUACCACCCUGGCAUGCUUGAGGUUCUAACUCUGGUCCGUAAUCCGGAUCGAGGACAGUGUAUGGUGGGCAGUUUGACUGGGGCGGUCUCCUCCUAAAGAGUAACGGAGGAGUACGAAGGUGCGCUCAGACCGGUCGGAAAUCGGUCGCAGAGUAUAAAGGCAAAAGCGCGCUUGACUGCGAGACAGACACGUCGAGCAGGUACGAAAGUAGGUCUUAGUGAUCCGGUGGUUCUGUAUGGAAGGGCCAUCGCUCAACGGAUAAAAGGUACUCCGGGAUAACAGGCUGAUACCGCCCAAGAGUUCAUAUCGACGGCGGUGUUUGGCACCUCGAUGUCGGCUCAUCACAUCCUGGGGCUGAAGCCGGUCCCAAGGGUAUGGCUGUUCGCCAUUUAAAGUGGUACGCGAGCUGGGUUUAGAACGUCGUGAGACAGUUCGGUCCCUAUCUGCCGUGGACGUUUGAGAUUUGAGAGGGGCUGCUCCUAGUACGAGAGGACCGGAGUGGACGAACCUCUGGUGUUCCGGUUGUCACGCCAGUGGCAUUGCCGGGUAGCUAUGUUCGGAAAAGAUAACCGCUGAAAGCAUCUAAGCGGGAAACUUGCCUCAAGAUGAGAUCUCACUGGGAACUUGAUUCCCCUGAAGGGCCGUCGAAGACUACGACGUUGAUAGGCUGGGCGUGUAAGCGUUGUGAGGCGUUGAGCUAACCAGUACUAAUUGCCCGUGAGGC